rnacentral:rRNA from 1 species
UACGAAGGGGGCUAGCGUUGUUCGGAAUUACUGGGCGUAAAGGGCGCGUAGGCGGCGUGUCAAGUCAGGCGUGAAAUCCCUCGGCUCAACUGAGGAUCGUCGAUCGAUACUGCCGUUCUUGAGGAUUGCAGAGGAGACUGGAAUUCCCGGUGUAGCGGUGAAAUGUGUAGAGAUCGGGAGGAACACCGGUGGCGAAGGCGGGUCUCUGGGCAAUUCCUGACGCUGAGGCGCGAAAGCGUGGGGAGCAAACGGG